AUAGUGGCCGGAUACGAGGGUGCAUUUGACUACGGUGUUAAUUGCAUAACCAUCAUGAUUACGGAGUCUUAUCCCUCAAGCGAAAUUAGAGGAAGAAAGCAAAUCGCACGACAGAUCCAGCUACUGAGACACCGGCGGAAACCAGUGCCUCGACUGCUGACUGCAACCGAGGUCCCCCGCUGAUGGCAUCUCGCAGACGCAGCAGCGACCUGGGUCACCACCACGGAGACCCGGGGCCUCCCCACCCUGUCGCCCGGAGCCUGCGACGGCACGGGUAGACAUUUCACUUGGCAGCCACACGCACCCUGACGGCCCCCGAAGAUGACAGCUGUCACGCCAUGACGUCUCAGUGAACGGAGGGGGCUGCUCCGUGGACCGUCGUGUGUCCCCUGGAGCUGCAGCACAGUCCAGUCCAGUCCAGUCCAGAGGCAUGAAACACCUGGUACAUAUUCUUGACAGCACUCAAGAUACUUUCAUUACACCUUUAUCUUCACUUCUCCGCCAUGCAGUGUUACGGACACAGCUCGGCGCGUGACGAGAAGACAGAGCAAGUCCAGAGGAGACACCGCGCUAGAAGCACCAGGUACACCCCCUGACUAGGUGGGCCCCUUAACUAAAAAUUUCCAAAAUUGUUCACAUGCUAGUGUUGGUUAACCACCUUCCUGUCAGUCGGCGGUGGUUCGGUAGUUCAGCCUCGGUGAGAGCGUAGUGCAGUGUUUCGUGACACGCCGGAGACACCAGUAGUCUUUGGGAUGCACUUGCAUUUUAUUGCAAUCUGACAUCAAGGCAGUUAAUCUUUGGUGCAAAUCAAGUCUUGUCGAUCUUAAUCAUGAUAAAACAAUAAUAAUUUCCUUUACUAGGAAAUAUUUUCCUAUAAACUAUGAUUACAAAUUAGAUAAUUUAAUUCCAACAACGAUUCGAAAUAAUUUUUUCAUCAACAUGUAGGUUUUUUAGUUUCUAGUUCUCGAACACUUGCCCUAAUUAAAUAUAUUACUUACCAUGCCAUUAAUUCAGAUUCCAUUAUUUCUCUUUUCUUAGCACUUAUUAGGUCAAAACUAGAAUAUUGUACAGUAAUAUGGAACAACAAUAAUUCAUUGGAUAUUGAUAAAAUUGAAAAUAUUCAAAACAAAUGUAUUAAUCUUAUUACUCAAAAAUCAUUUCCCCCUCCUAAAUUAACAUCACUUUUUGAUCGGCGUGCCCUCCUUGACCAUCUUUUUAUUUCCAAUUGUUAUUCUUCUAAAAUCAAUUGUAAAUCCAUCUUGGAUAAUACUGGUUUAAGAGUCCCCCAGUAUCAUAGUCGACUUAUGUCUACUUACUGUACAAUCAAGAGAAAAAAUGAUAUUAUUUUUAGAUUAGCAAUUUUAAUAGAUUAGACCUAAUAGUAACCAGCUUAACCAAUUAGUAAAUUAUUUUAGUAGCACAUGCAGUCAACUUCAAUUCACUGUGUAUCUUUGUUUUUUGGCAUUCUAAAUCCACUAAUUUUCUGUAUUUUUGAAUUAAUUAAUUUUUUGUUUUUAAUUUAUAUUGUUUUGUGUCCUUUGUCUGAGGUGUCUCUUGUGUAUUGUGUUUUUUUUUUUGUACCGUGCACACCCCUGUAAUCUCUUCGCAGAGCAUUGGUGUGCAUGUCACAAUUUAUAAAUAAAAAAUAAAUAAGUUUUUUUUGGUUAGUGAGUUUAACAAACAGUGGUGGAGGCAAAGCGUAGGUAAGGUGGGUGAGGUAAACUACACUUUGGUGUUCACUCAGCUGGGCAGUGCUGAGUCAUAAAUAAGGUAGGGGAGAAGAGGGGGGGGGGGGGGGGGCAGGUACCCACAGCUCAGUGGAUUUUUCAUAUCAUUUUCACUGUGCAAUUAUAACUUGCUAGUAGGAUGAAAAUCACAAAUCUAUUAACAGAAUUUAUAGGAAACCUAACAAGUUAUAAAACAUGUGCAGAUCAUGUUUACAGUUUUUUUGCCAAGAUUUUUUUUUUUAAUUAAUGGGGUUUUAAAAGUUGUACAACAAGAUGAAUUAGACCCCACCAUCUUGAAUUUUCCCAUCUUUUUUGCCAUAAUUCUAAUUUUGAAUUAGGUAUUUAUCCCGAUUUUUUUGGCAUGUCGAAGUGUAUAUCAUAUCUCCCGUGCCUUCUGUACCUGGUUGCAACCACGUAUUCGCUAACAGCCGCGUGGAAAUAACUUAUUUCUCGCAGGCAACUGCAACUAUAAUGAUGAUCACACAAGUUCACAAGUGUUGACUUCAACAAGUAGACGAAGCUAAGUCCUACGCCAUGUCAAACCAAAAAAUUCAGAACUGAAGCUUUUAACUGCAAGUGGUAUCUAAAUUUUUGACAUUGCAUGAUGGAGAUGCCUGAUCCCCUGGCCCUGUGGUAGAGUAUAAACAUAAACCAAUAGUAGUGUUCCCAAUCUCUCUCCCCACAGUCUAGUAUUCUUAGCUUGGUUAAAAUUCAACAGAAGUCAGUAAAAUAAUAAAAAGAAAUUAACUUAAUUGUGGUAAAAACUGUUCCUUAAUAGGCUCCUUCUAAUAAUGAAUUUGAUUCAGUGUGUGCUGGACUCCUUUUGUGCUUAAGCAGUUUCGAUUAGUCUUAAAAACUUUGCUCACUGGUUCAGAUGAUGUGUUUGUUAUCUGUGAAGGCUGAAAUGAUUAAUGCAUAUCCUCUUCUUUUUGUAAUAAUAAAAUGAGUUAAAUUGAUAGAUUCUUACAUACUUAUUGAUAGGGACAAGUUAUAGGAUUAAUUGUGAUAAAGCCAAAGUAACUCAUUGUGCUAUUGCGUGGUACAUGUCAGUGCACCAUGCAAUACCACAAAGUAAGUUAAUACACAACUAAGAACCAAAAUGUUACUUAAUUCAUAAAAUAUCAGCAUCUUUUAUUAAAAAUGCUGAUUUAAAUCACAAUAACAUAAUAUUUUAAUACACAAAAUUCGAUGAAUGAAUAUUUAGUGUGACAUUUGUACCAUAGUGUAUGUAAUAAAUUGAUUGGAUAAAUUUUUUUUUUAUUUACAUUGCAAUGUUGGUACAUUUGUCGAACACAGACAAAUACUUUUCAAUUAAUUUUUAUUGUCUUAUCUAUUAGUGUCAUUAUAAUAUUGUGAUUAAUGUAAAGGUGCUUAAUUCAUCAGUAAAAACGACUCUGGUGAAACAAGUAUCAUACUUAAGCAUUAUAUUUAUGGAAUAAUAUGAUAUAUUUAUGAAUAAAUAGGAUUCAUAAAAUAUAAAACAAAAAAAUGGGUGCGUGUACUUAUGUACGCCCGUGAGAAGUUAUACUUCUUUGGCAUCAUUAAACGAUAGUUUUUAAUUGCAUGCAAAUAAUGAACUACAAUAAAAUAAUAAAAGGGCUGGAAAAAGAUAGUCA